rnacentral:rRNA from 1 species
AACGAACGCUGGCGGCGUGCCUAACACAUGCAAGUCGAGCGGGAAAGUUCCCUUCGGGGAGCGAGUACAGCGGCGAACGGGUGAGUAACACGUAGGUAACCUACCCUGGAGAUCGGGAUAACCUGCCGAAAGGCGGGCUAAUACCGGAUAAGACCACGAGGGCUGCGGCCCUUGAGGAAAAGAUGGCCUCUGCUUGCAAGCUAUCACUCUGGGAUGGGCCUGCGCGCCAUUAGCUAGUUGGUGAGGUAACGGCUCACCAAGGCUGAGAUGGCUAGCUGGUCUGAGAGGAUGGCCAGCCACACUGGGACUGAGACACGGCCCAGACUCCUACGGGAGGCAGCAGUGGGGAAUAUUGCGCAAUGGGCGAAGCCUGACGCAGCGACGCCGCGUGGGCGAUGAAGGCC